AAUAAAACUGUUCUAAAUAUAUUCAUCUUGUAGUUUAAAGAAAACUGAAAUUAUUUUAUUUAUAAUGUGUAAUCAUUUGAUAUUCAUAAUAACUCAAUUUAUUUUCUAAUAAGAUAUUUUAAUCUGAGCAGUGUUUUAUUUAGACAGAAAAAGAACUGUUACUCAGUAAUAUUACAGUUUAGUAGUCAUUUUUAAAAAUAAUUUCAUUUAAAAUAAGAUUUUAUUUAAUGGUUUUAAUUUAUUCAUAAGUAACAAAUUAUAAAUUCAUUUGUUUAUAAGAAGUUAUUUGUGUUAAAUUUGUAUAGAAUUUUUUUUAAUCUAUAAAAAAAAACAUUUACAAUCAUUAAUACAUUCUAUUUAUUUUGUGCAAUAAUUAUGUUUUAUUAAUAAUGUAUACUUUUUUCUAAGCUCUAAGGAGGAUACUGGGUGUAGACUGGAUUAGACGCCUGAGUCUCAGUCCUGCGGAGUCUCCGUGUUAACACUUUAUUACAGUUCUCUCACCUGGUGUGUGUGUGUUUAUUCUGAGCGUUAAUGUUUAAUCUGAUCUCCUGUGUGAAGUCAGCGGAGCUUCAGACUCCGAACUCCUCCUGCUGUAAAUAUUAGAAUGAAAUGGGAAGGUGUGGUGUACAGGAAGUGAUGUGGGUCAGUUAGAGACCGGCGUGAGGGUUGGUGAUGUUCACGUUCAUCACUUCUCUUAUUCCUCUCUCGUCUUACAGAAACCUGUAGAACAGCGGAAUAAAUCACGAGACCGGGAUUCCGUUCAUUAGAUCGUUAAAACGACAUUAGAAAACAGGAUGAGGUUUUAUUCCAUUAAUCAGUACAUGACGAUGGGAAGUGGUCAUUUUAUUAGGUACAGUGGGUAAAUUUCAGUGAAGUGGAGCUUUAUUAAGUGAAGCUUGUUUAUUUAUUUAUUUUUAACAGCUUCACUUAUUAUUUCUAUUCCAUUACUUUGUUUUUCUCUGAUCAGACCUGAUGAUGAUGAUAAUCAUUUUAAAUAUUUGAAAUAUAUUUUAUAAUAUAAAUGAGAAUUUAUAAUAAAUGUUAUAAAAUAUCGUUUAUAAUAAAGAAUAUCUCUGAUACAUUUCAACAGCACUUCUUACUGAUUUAAAUAUGGAGUACGGUUUUUAUUUGUAGGUUUUGUGGGUUUUUUGGUAGGUUUUUAGUUGCCACUGAAACUUGGAACAGCAAGGCCAAUUCCUUUUUUUUUUUGUUCUUUUUUUUUAGGUUGUAGACAUUUGGGUUUGAGAUCAAAAGAUGGAGGUGAGAAGAGUUUAGAAUUUCAGAUUUGAUUUUCUGGUAUUUAUAUGUAGACGUGUUAAACGACAUAGCACAUCUUGUAUCAGACAACACAAUUUGGAGGUGAGCGAAAAUAUUGGAACACAGGGCUGCCAGGUGUUUCUUGCUCCCCAGGUGCUGUUAGAUAGAUUGUUUAAACAACACAUAGCUCUGAACAUCUACUCAUGGUUUUAACCUUCAGUUUCACCUGUGAAGACUGCAUUUGUUGUUAAAAAGGACAAACCAACAUGACGAUCAGGGAGCUGUCUAUGGGAGAAGAGCGAGCCAUUCUGAAGCUGAUGAAAAGAGGGAAAAUCAUUCAGAGGCACUGCACAGACAUUGGGUAUAACCAGUACAACAAUCUGGAACGUCCUGAAAAAGAAAGAAACCGCUGGUGUGCUGAGGAACAGACGCCGAACGGGUCGGCCAGGGAAAACAGCUGCCGAUAACAAACAUUGUGAGAGCUGUGAAGAAAAACCCGAAUAUAAGUCAGUGACAUCAUCAGCGACCUCCCCAGGGCAGAGUGAUUGUAUCACCAUCCAGCAUUGGAAGAAGACUUGGAGAGCAGAAAUAUAGAGGACAUACCACAAGAUGUAAACCACUCAUCAGCAGUAAGAGUCAGAAAUCCAGACUGGGAUUCACAAAGAAAUACAGAGAUGAUCCACAAACGUCCUGAACCGACAUGAACCUCUACCAAAGUGAUGGAAAGACCAAAGUGUGGAGAAAGAAAGGAUCUGAUCAUGAUCCAGAACAUACAAGCUGAUCUGUGAAACAAGGUGGAGGUAGCGUCAUGGCUGAAAGGAUCUGCAGUAGAAACCUGGAGAAGCUUCACAGAAGAAGAAACAGCGGUUUGGUGUCAGCGAGUCGCAGGAGUGAUGCAGUUACUGCGAGUAACAGAUACGCAACUGAAUAUCAAGUGUUAUUUACUCUCAUUUACUUCAGGACCGCUCUGUUCCUAUACUUUUGCUCACAUAAUAAUUGGUUGUCUGAUACAGGAGGUUCUGUGUUUUACGUCUAGAUGUAAACACCAGGAAAUAAAAACUGAAAUCCUGAUCUAUCUUCUCAUAUUCAUCUUUUCAUCUCGAUCACAUGAAUUGACCUUGCUGUUCCAAUAGUUUUGGAGGGGACUGUACUUAUUGGCAUGUCAUUGUUCCGCCCCUCAGUGGUGUGUAAAUCAUCACUACACUAACACUGGAGAGUUCUCAGAAGUUCUCUGUCUCAGGGUUGUGUGUUUAAACUGAUUCAAGUGUGAAACUGAGUGAGAGUUUAAAGGGGCAGUAGGUGAUACAGGACCAGGCCUUUAAAGUUUAAAUAGGUCGCUGAAUCUGAUUUGAAUGAUUUCUUUUAUUCCUUGAGCCCUGCCCAUCAUUCCCACCCAUAUAUGCAAAGCUCCGCCUCAGAGCCUACGGUGAUUAGUGUUAGCAUUAGUGAGGACCAGCAGCUCGACCAGCAGCUCGAGCUGCAGCUGUAUAAACACACAGGUUUGAACAGAACCUUAUGACUAACUAUCUUAUAACUGAACAUAAGUGUUAUUAGGCAGUAAUUACUAUUAUAUGCACACUUUGACGAGCUAGUAGGAGUGGGUAUGAGCUAGUAGGAGUGGGUAUGAGCUAGUAGGAGUGGUUAUGAGUUAGUAGGGGUGGGUAGUAGGAGUGGGUAUGAGCUAGUAGGAGUGGGUAGUAGGUGUGGGUAUGAGUUAGUAGGGGUGGGUAGUAGGGAGUGGUUAUGAGUUAGUAGGAGUGGGUAGUUGGUGUGGUUAUGAGUUAGUAGGAGUGGGUAGUAGGAGUGGGUAUGAGUUAGUAGGGUGGGUUAG
ensembl:lncRNA